ACGGGGUGCAGCAGGCGCGAAAACUUCGCACUGCGCGAAAGCGCGACGAGGGAAUCCCAAGUGUAUGCACGUAAGUGUAUACUGUUUCUCUGUCUAAAAAGCAGAGAGAGUAAGAGCUGGGUAAGACGGGUGCCAGCCGCCGCGGUAAUACCUGCAGCUCGAGUGGUGAUCGUUAUUAUUGGGCCUAAAACGUCCGUAGCCGGUCUUCUAAAUGCCUGGGUAAAUCGUAUGGCUUAACCAUACGAAUUCCGGGUAGACUGUUAGACUUGAGACCGGGAGAAGCUAGAGGUACUCCUGGGGUAGAGGUGAAAUUCUGUAAUCCUAGGGGGACGACCAGUGGCGAAGGCGUCUAGCUAGAACGGGUCUGACGGUGAGGGACGAAGCCCUGGGGCGCAAACGGGAUUAGAUACCCCGGUAGUCCAGGGUGUAAACGCUGCUUGCUUGAUGUUAGUCUGGCUCCGAGCCAGAUUAGUGUCGGAGAGAAGUUGUUAAGCAAGCUGCCUGGGAAGUACGGCCGCAAGACUGAAACUUAAAGGAAUUGGCGGGGGAGCAC
rnacentral:rRNA from 1 species